rnacentral:rRNA from 1 species
GACGAACGCUGGCGGCGUGCUUAACACAUGCAAGUCGAACGGACAGGCCCUGCUCUUGUUGCUCGCUCGUUUGCCGCACGCGUGUGUAUCACGUGUGUAUCCUCCCCUUAUCUUUGGGAUAUCUCCACGAAACUGGGGCUCUUACCGCAUAGGAGCUCCUGCUGCAUGUUGGUGGUUGGAAAGUUUCGGCGGUUCUGGCUGGUCUCGCGGCUUAUCAGCUUGUUGGGGGGGUAGUGGCUUACAAAGGCUAUGACGGGUAGCCGGCCUGAGAGGGUGACCGGCCACAAUGGGACUGAGAUACGGCCCAGACUCGUACGGGAGGCAGCAGUGGGGAAUAUUGCACAAUGGGCGGAAGCCUGAUGCAGCAACGCCGCGUGCGGGAUGACGGCCUUCGGGUUGUAAACCGCUUUCGCCGGUGACGAAGCGUGAGUGACGGUAAUGGGUAAAGAAGCACCGGCUAACUACGUG